CUCUCAAUAUGAGCACACAGCUCGGAGGGUGAGGACCAUCAGUAACAGCAUCAUCAGCACCAGCACCAGCAGCAAUAUCAGUCCCCGCGAUGGAUUGUGUUCUGUGUAACACUUUGUGUGCGCGGAGAUGGAGGCCGUGAAGGCAGAUAGAUAACAAUUAGGAUAGCAUAUUCAACUGCAAUACCCGAGCUUGUGAUUUAAACCGUGAUUUCAAUCUAUCAGGAAAGUUGAUUUCGGGCACUUUUAUGAUUCCGCGUCGCAUUUGCUACCGCUGGGCACUUCAACAGGGCAUCAGCUGUGCUCAUCUCCGCGACAUAUUUCUGACUAUUCUAAGUGGCAGCUAUUAGACCUGACUGAUGACACUCUGUUAUCGGGAUUUCGUUUCCCUUUUUCGCCCGGACCCCAACCAAGCCUCAUAUUCUGAUUCGGCAGAGUAUGUCUUUGGAGGAUAAGCUUGGCAGCAAGGGCUUAUCAUUCACUCCGAUGGGGAUAGAGGAUAAUAACAUGAGGAACGGCAGAGGCCUGUCGGACCAAUGGGCUGAUAGCAUGGUGGUUCGGCCCCGGACCACGGAGCGAAGCAUCACCGUCCACAAGAAACUGGUCCUGGGGUUCGCCAUCUCCAUCCUCACCCUCAUCGUCGUCACGGCCAUCGCGGUUCUCCUCAGCGUCCGGUUCGAGGAGUGCGCGGGGGAGAGUAGCUCACGAGGGGGAAAUGGCUCUAACGCCAAGUUCAACGGGUCACGGGAUGGGAACGGGAACCACAAAGAUGAAGAAGCCCAGCCGUGGAGACACCUCCGGUUACCGACAUCUCUCCGGCCCCGGCACUACGACCUGCGUCUCUCAGUGUACAUGGAUAACUUUACUUUCUCCGGGGAAGUGAACAUUGAAUUCGAGUGUGUGAACUCUACCAAAUUCAUAGUGCUUCACACCGACCGCCUCGAGGUGGAGAAAGUGGCGGUUUACUCGGAUAAUAAAAAACCCGGUGUCAUGAGAAUCCACCGCCAAUUCCAUUACCCGGGAAACCAGGUUUAUGUGAUCGCUUUGCACAGGGAACUGAAGCCCAUGAGGACGUAUAAAGUAAACAUUACUUUCGACGCUCAAAUAGAAAGUGAACUCCUGGGAUUUUUCCGCAGCUCAUAUAUGCUGCAGGGAGAGAGAAGGUACAUGGCGGUGACACAGUUCUCCCCCACCCACGCCAGAAAGGCCUUUCCGUGUUUUGAUGAGCCCAUCUACAAGGCCACGUUCCGGGUCAGCCUGAGACACGAUGCGUCCUACCUCUCUCUCUCCAACAUGCCUGUAGAGGCCUCCAUCUCUGAUGAUGAUGGCUGGGUGACCAACCACUUCUCCAGGACUCCUCGUAUGUCAACCUACUACCUGGCCUGGGCCGUCUGUAACUUUACCUACAGAGAGGUGACCACUGACAGUGGAGUGGUGAUCCGGCUGUAUGCCAGGCCCAACGCCAUCCAGAGCGGAGCGGGUGACUACGCUCUCCACAUCACAAAGAGACUCCUCCAGUUCUAUGAGGAUUACUUCAAAGUCAAAUACUCCCUGCCCAAAUUAGACCUGCUGGCCGUGCCCAAGCACCCCUACGCUGCCAUGGAGAACUGGGGUCUGAGUGUGUUUGUAGAGCAGAAGAUCCUACUGGACCCAGAGGUCUCAUCCUUCUCCUACCAGAUGGAGCUAACCAUGGUGGUGGUUCAUGAGAUCUGCCAUCAGUGGUUUGGUGACCUGGUAACCCCCGUGUGGUGGGAGGAUGUCUGGCUGAAGGAAGGCUUCGCCCACUUCUUUGAGUACGUUGGAACGGACUUCCUCUUCCCCAAAUGGAACAUGGAGAAGCAGCGUUUCCUGACUGAUGUUCUCCAUGAGGUGAUGCUGCUGGACGGUCUGGCCAGCUCCCAUCCAAUCUCUCAGGAGGUGUACGACGCCACGGACAUAGACAGAGUGUUCGACUGGAUCGCAUACAAGAAGGGUGCUGCUCUGAUCAGGAUGCUGGCUAACGUCAUGGGGCAGCAGGUGUUCCAGAGAGGACUCAAUGAUUACUUGAUGACACACAUGUACAGCAACGCGGGCAGAGACGACUUGUGGAACAAACUGACUGAGGCCAUGCAGAAGGAAGGGAAGGACAUCAACAUUAAGGAGGUGAUGGACUGCUGGACCCUCCAGAUGGGUUAUCCUGUUGUGACCAUCAGUAAGAACUACAGUCUGGACCACAGCGUCACCAUCACACAGGAACACUUUGUCUACGACAGGGAGGCCAGGUUCAGAGACCCUGACCUUUUCAACAGAAGUCUACAGUGGCAGAUUCCUCUGACUUUAGCACUGGGGAAUUCGACUUACAAAUCAUCAGAAGUCAUCCUCUGGAUCUCCAAUAAAACAGAGACACACAAAGUGGGCCGGAUGGACGAUGACAUGUGGUUGCUAGGCAACAUCAACCAGACUGGGUACUUCCGGGUGAACUACGACCUCCACAACUGGAGGCUCCUCAUUGGACAGCUGAUGACCAACGCUGAGAUCAUCUCUGUCGGCAACAGGGCGGGGCUCAUCGAUGACGUCUUCAAUCUGGCCAGGGCUGGCUACCUGCCCCAGAACGUGCCCCUCCAGAUCAUCUGCUACCUGCCCCAGGAGAGAGAGUUCCUCCCCUGGCACGCCGCCAGCCGCUCCCUCUACCAGCUGGACAAGCUGCUGGACCGCACAGAGGACUACAGUCUCUUCAGUGACUUUGUGCUGAAGCAAGUGGCCUCAAAGUAUCACAAGAUGGGCUGGCCCUUGGCUCUGACAGAAGGCUCCAUCAUACAGGCCUCCUACCAGACUGAAGAGCUGCAGAGAGAGGUGAUCAUGCUGGCAUGUAGUUUCGGGAACAAGCACUGUCACCGCCAAGCCGUGUCGCUCAUCUCUGAUUGGAUCUCCAGCAACAAGAACAGGAUCCCUCCCAACGUGCGUGACAUAGUGUACUGUACGGGCGUGUCUCUGAUGGAUGAGGACGUGUGGGAGUUUAUCUGGAUGAAGUUCCACUCCACAACAGCCAUCUCAGAGAAGAAGGUUCUCCUGGAGGCUCUCACCUGCAGCGACAAUGGCUUCCUGCUCAACCGGCUGCUGAAUCUUUCUCUGAGCUCAGAUUUGGUCCCAGAUCAAGAUGUCAUCGAUGUCAUGAUCCACGUGGGAAGGAACCCGCAUGGAAGACACUUAGCCUGGAGGUACUUCAGGGAGAAGUGGGACAUCUUGAAUUCACGGUACGGAGAGGCCUUAUUCAUGACCUCUAAGCUAAUCAGUGGGGUGACUGAAUUCCUGAACACAGAGACGGAGCUGAAUGAGCUGAAGGAGUUUACCCAGAUCAGUGGAGGUGGAGCGGGGCCGGCGUUGGCCCGGGCCGUGGAGAUCGUGGAGGCCAACGUCAGAUGGCACAGUCUCUACGAACGCCAGAUCUUCCAGUGGCUAAGGAAGUCUCCCAACGGUUAACACACAGCCAACAGGGUUCAUUCAGCCCAAGCAUGGCAUCUCUCUGAAACUAUUACAGACCCAACAACAUCAGGCGGAGAAAAAAAAAUAUCAGAAAACAUGAAUAUGUUCAUUUGAAUUACAAAAUAAGACAUUUCCCCGCCUCCCCCCCCCAAAAAAAAAACUUGAUGAGAAAGUGACUGGAAAACCGGAGAGAGAGGGAACAGUGAAGACAGACGACGUGAUUGGCUCAGAUGACCUUAGUCUGACCGACCGUGUCGAAGGUGGAUGUGAUUAGGUAUAAAUAUUGCAUGGUGGCGUUCAUCUCCAGUGACACUUUCCCUUUCAACGCAUGGUUUUCACCCCUCUCCUCUGAUUGGUUUUCCACUAAGCUGACCCCUGUGACCUUUUCAAUGACCUUUGAACCUCCGGUCAACUCUUUAGUAGCCUAUGGGGAGAAAGACAAACUAGAGCUACAAGAGGCACGGGAAGAGGACCUGGCGGCAUUAUGAUUACAACUGUGACAAGCACAAGUAAUAUCAUUUUUUUUUUUUUGUUCAAUGAUGACAAUCAUUAUUUUGAUUGGGACAACAACAAAAACAAAAACAAAUAUAAAGUAUAACGUAAUAAAAUAAUAUGUGUACCUAAAUGGUUUGGAUCUUAACCUUGUCUUUUGAGCCAUACUGAGGUGGACUUUGUGACGUCUGGAACAUUUAGACAGGGGGGGGGCGUGGCGGCUGAAGUGAUGCCAUACUGAGGUGGACUUUGUGACGUCUGGAACAUUUAGACAGGGGGGGGGCGUGGCGGCUGAAGUGAUGCCAUACUGAGGUGGACUUUGUGACGUCUGGAACAUUGAGACAGGGGGGGGCGUGGCGGCUGAAGUGAUGCCAUACUGAGGUGGACUUUGUGACGUCUGGAACAUUGAGACAGGGGGGGGCGUGGCGGCUGAAGUGAUGUUCAUUGUUGUGCGUGGUGUGUUCCAUAAUAACUUAUCCUCCUUCCUCAGCCAAUGAGGUUUCCCUAAAUGACAUUACGCCAGGGGGAGACUCUGCAGAACCCAGGAGGCAGGUUGGAAGCAGGAACAAGGGGGACUCCCCCAUAACCCGAAGGAGUCACUAUUGAUUAUUGAUCGAUUAUCGUUAAAUUACAUCAUUUAUAUUUGCUUGUUGCACCCGAGUGUCCUUUUGGAUUAUACCGUCUUGGUGUUUGAGUGAAAAUAAAAAAUGAAACUGUUGUGAGUUGCAGGUUGAUAUUCUGUGUGCAAAAUGGUCCACGUUGCUGAUGGGACUGAGAGCCAGUGGAUACAGCCUGUGUGAGCCGCGGUGUAGUAAUGAUGACAUAUAGAAACUUACGUUGUUUUGGUCAGACGUCAUGCUUGGGUUUUCAUGUGCCGCUAAUGACUUCAUAACAAAGUUUCACUCAGAAACCCGUGUUUUAAGCAAAAGCAGAGGAAAUAUUCUACAAUAUUCCCGACAGAUAUUCCUCGUUUUGUUGCUACCCUGCAAAGCCCAGUAAACUUAACAGGCCGAUGCUAACAGCUAGCUGGAUAUACUCUGUGGACUCGUUUCAUGAAGAAUAGAACAUAAUAAUGAGUUUUUACUGUUGACACUUGGCUGGUAGAGAAAAUCCCCAUUGGGUUUACUGGGGAGUCCAUUGCUCUUAUUUUCUGUGUAAAAGUCAGUGCUAUUUAUAUCCUCUAUGGCUAAUCCUUGAUACUGUAGACCUCAAGAAGAAAACAGUUUCAGACCUUCGCCAUCUUUUCCUUUCUUGUUGUUGUUUUGAUGUAUUAAAAAAUUGUUUUUUUUUUCUAAAUGAGGGACUAUAUUGUUCUGUGUUUUGAGCAGAGCAGCAAUGGGAUUUUAACGCUGACAAAUAAAUUAUUUUGUACAGUAACGCAA